rnacentral:rRNA from 1 species
CCACGGGUGGCAGCAGUGGGGAAUAUUGCACAAUGGAGGAAACUCUGAUGCAGCAACGCCGCGUGAAGGAAGAAGGCUUUCGGGUUGUAAACUUCUUUUACCAGGGACGAAAAAAAUGACGGUACCUGGAGAAAAAGCCACGACUAACUACGUGCCAGCAGUCGCGGUAAUACGUAGGUGGCAAGCGUUGUCCGGAUUUACUGGGUGUAAAGGGCGCGUAGGCGGAGAAACAAGUCAGAAGUGAAAUCCAUGGGCUCAACCCAUGAACUGCUUUUGAAACUGUGUCCCUUGAGUAUCGGAGAGGCAGGCGGAAUUCCUAGUGUAGCGGUGAAAUGCGUAGAUAUUAGGAGGAACACCAGUGGCGAAGGCGGCCUGCUGGACGACAACUGACGCUGAGGCGCGAAAGCGUGGGGAGCAAACAGGAUUAGAUACCCCAGUAGUC